rnacentral:tRNA from 1 species
CAGAUAGCUCAGUUGGUAGAGCAGGGGAUUGAAAAUCCCCGUGUCGGUGGUUCGAAUCCGCCUCUGGG